GAUGAACGCUGGCGGCGUGCCUAAUACAUGCAAGUCGAGCGAACGGACGAGAAGCUUGCUUCUCUGAUGUUAGCGGCGGACGGGUGAGUAACACGUGGAUAACCUACCUAUAAGACUGGGAUAACUUCGGGAAACCGGAGCUAAUACCGGAUAAUAUUUUGAACCGCAUGGUUCAAAAGUGAAAGACGGUCUUGCUGUCACUUAUAGAUGGAUCCGCGCUGCAUUAGCUAGUUGGUAAGGUAACGGCUUACCAAGGCAACGAUGCAUAGCCGACCUGAGAGGGUGGUAGGCCACACUGGAACUGAGACACGGUCCAGACUCCUACGGGAGGCAGCAGUAGGGAAUCUUCCGCAGUGGGCGAAAGCCUGACGGAGCAACGCCGCGUGAGUGAUGAAGGUCUUCGGAUCGUAAAACUCUGUUAUUAGGGAAGAACAUAUGUGUAAGUAACUGUGCACAUCUUGACGGUACCUAAUCAGAAAGCCACGGCUAACUACGUG
rnacentral:rRNA from 1 species